rnacentral:rRNA from 1 species
UACAGAGGGUGCAAGCGUUGUUCGGAAUUACUGGGCGUAAAGCGUCUGUAGGUGGUCAAAUAAGUCAACUGUUAAAUCUUGAGGCUCAACCUCAAAAUCGCAGUCGAAACUAUUAGACUAGAGUAUAGUAGGGGUAAAGGGAAUUUCCAGUGGAGCGGUGAAAUGCGUAGAGAUUGGAAAGAACACCGAUGGCGAAGGCACUUUACUGGGCUAUUACUAACACUCAGAGACGAAAGCUAGGGUAGCAAAUGGG